rnacentral:rRNA from 1 species
UACAGGGGGGCAAGCGUUGUUCGGAAUUACUGGGCGUAAAGGGCUCGUAGGCGGCCAACUAAGUCCGACGUGAAAUCCCCAGGCUUAACCUGGGAACUGCGUCGGAUACUGGAUGGCUUGAAUUCGGGAGAGGGAUGCAGAAUUCCAGGUGUAGCGGUGAAAUGCGUAGAUAUCUGGAGGAAUACCGGUGGCGAAGGCGGCAUCCUGGACCGACAUUGACGCUGAUGAGCGAAAGCUAGGGGAGCAAACGGG